GCUGAAAUAGUUUAAAGUAAAAACGUGAAAUUGCAAAUUUUAAGAUGGCACAUAUCCUUUCGGUU
rnacentral:tRNA from 1 species